CAGCAGCCGCGGUAAUACGAAGGGGGCUAGCGUUGUUCGGAAUUACUGGGCGUAAAGCGCACGUAGGCGGAUCUUUAAGUCAGAGGUGAAAUCCCAAGGCUCAACCUUGGAACUGCCUUUGAUACUGGGGAUCUUGAGUCCGGAAGAGGUGAGUGGAACUGCGAGUGUAGAGGUGAAAUUCGUAGAUAUUCGCAAGAACACCAGUGGCGAAGGCGGCUCACUGGUCCGGUACUGACGCUGAGGUGCGAAAGCGUGGGGAGCAAACAGGAUUAGAUACCCCAGUAGUCCCUGUCUCUUAUAC
rnacentral:rRNA from 1 species